CUGACACAGACACAUAAGAAACAAUGAUUUCUCUUAUUCUAAUGCUGGGGACACUCUGUCUGCUUGCUCAAGUGUCUCAUGAAGAGGUUCAGUCUCCUGAGUAUCUGUCUGUUAAAGCAGGAGAUUCUGUCUCUAUCAGCUGCACUGCAUCUUCUGGAAUUGGUUAUGACAUGAGCUGGUAUCUGCUGAGACCUGGAAAAAACCCUAAACUCCUGAUCUACACAACGAGUAACCUUGCAUCUGGAGUUUCAGAUCGGUUCAGUGGAACUUAUUCUGGAUAUGAAUUUACACUGAACAUACGUGGAGUCCAGCCUGAGGAUGCAGGAGUUUAUUACUGUAUGGGGGCUUACAGUGGCAGGUGCUCACAGGGAAACAGCAUCGUACAAAAACCUCCUUCAGUCUGACAGCAAAGAGAAUAUGAGGAUACUGAGAAGUUCACAAUAUCAGUCAAUUAUGAUAUCAUCAGAUAAGUUGUGCUUAAUUAGAUUUGCAAAUAUAGAUAGUACAUC